rnacentral:rRNA from 1 species
CCUACGGGUGGCAGCAGUGGGGAAUAUUGGACAAUGGGCGAAAGCCUGAUCCAGCCAUGCCGCGUGUGUGAAGAAGGCCUUCGGGUUGUAAAGCACUUUCAGUGGGGAAGAAAGCCUUAGGGCUAAUACCCUCGAGGAAGGACAUCACCCACAGAAGAAGCACCGGCUAUACUCCGUGCCAGCAGCCGCGGUAAUACGGAGGGUGCGAGCGUUAAUCGGAAUUACUGGGCGUAAAGCGCGCGUAGGCGGUCUGAUAAGCCGGUUGUGAAAGCCCCGGGCUCAACCUGGGAACGGCAUCCGGAACUGUCAGGCUAGAGUGCAGGAGAGGAAGGUAGAAUUCCCGGUGUAGCGGUGAAAUGCGUAGAGAUCGGGAGGAAUACCAGUGGCGAAGGCGGCCUUCUGGACUGACACUGACGCUGAGGUGCGAAAGCGUGGGUAGCAAACAGGAUUAGAUACCCGAGUAGUC